GUCUACGGCCAUACCACCCUGAACACGCCCGAUCUCGUCUGAUCUCGGAAGCUAAGCAGGGUCGGGCCUGGUUAGUACUUGGAUGGGAGAUAAUGAACUUAACGUGGUUUGGCGUUGCCG
rnacentral:rRNA from 1 species